rnacentral:rRNA from 1 species
GAUGAACGCUAGCGGCAGGCCUAAUACAUGCAAGUCGAACGGGAUCCAGAUCAAAGCUUGCUUUGGUCUGGUGAGAGUGGCGCACGGGUGCGUAACGCGUGAGCAACCUACCCUUGUCAGGGGGAUAGCCCGGCGAAAGUCGGAUUAAUACCGCAUGACAUCAUUGAGAGGCAUCUUUCGAUGAUCAAAGAUUUAUCGGACAAGGAGGGGCUCGCGUGACAUUGGCUAGUUGGUAAGGUAACGGCUUACCAAGGCUGCGAUGUCUAGGGGCUCUGAGAGGAGAAUCCCCCACACUGGUACUGAGACACGGACCAGACUCCUACGGGAGGCAGCAGUAAGGAAUAUUGGUCAAUGGACGGAAGUCUGAACCAGCCAUGCCGCGUGCAGGAAGACGGCCCUAUGGGUUGUAAACUGCUUUUAUACGGGAACAAACGUCGGUACGUGUACCGGUCUGAGUGUACCGUAAGAAUAAGGAUCGGCUAACUCCGUG